AUUAACACAUGCAAGUCGAACGCACUCUCGUUUAGAUUGAAGGAGCUUGCUCCUGAUUGAUAAACAUUUGAGUGAGUGGCGGACGGGUGAGUAACACGUGGGUAACCUGCCCUAAAGUGGGGGAUAACAUUUGGAAACAGAUGCUAAUACCGCAUAAAACCUAACACCGCAUGGUGUAGGGUUGAAAGAUGGUUUCGGCUAUCACUUUAGGAUGGACCCGCGGUGCAUUAGUUAGUUGGUGAGGUAAAGGCUCACCAAGACCGUGAUGCAUAGCCGACCUGAGAGGGUAAUCGGCCACACUGGGACUGAGACACGGCCCAGACUCCUACGGGAGGCAGCAGUAGGGAAUCUUCCACAAUGGACGAAAGUCUGAUGGAGCAACGCCGCGUGAGUGAAGAAGGUUUUCGGAUCGUAAAACUCUGUUGUUGGAGAAGAAUGUAUCUGAUAGUAACUGAUCAGGUAGUGACGGUAUCCAACCAGAAAGCCACGGCUAACUACGUGCCAGCAGCCGCGGUAAUACGUAGGUGGCAAGCGUUGUCCGGAUUUAUUGGGCGUAAAGCGAGCGCAGGCGGUUUCUUAAGUCUGAUGUGAAAGCCUUCGGCUCAACCGAAGAAGUGCAUCGGAAACUGGGAAACUUGAGUGCAGAAGAGGACAGUGGAACUCCAUGUGUAGCGGUGAAAUGCGUAGAUAUAUGGAAGAACACCAGUGGCGAAGGCGGCUGUCUGGUCUGUAACUGACGCUGAGGCUCGAAAGCAUGGGUAGCAAACAGGAUUAGAUACCCUGGUAGUCCAUGCCGUAAACGAUGAGUGCUAGGUGUGGGAGGGUUUCCGCCCUUCAGUGCCGCAGCUAACGCAUUAAGCACUCCGCCUGGGAGUACGACCGCAAGGUUGAAACUCAAAGGAAUUGACGGGGGCCCGCACAAGCGGUGGAGCAUGUGGUUUAAUUCGAAGCAACGCGAAGAACCUUACCAGGUCUUGACAUCCUUUGACCACUCUAGAGAUAGAGCUUUCCCUUCGGGGACAAAGUGACAGGUGGUGCAUGGUUUGUCGUCAGCUCGUGUCGUGAGAUGUUGGGUUAAGUCCCGCAACGAGCGCAACCCUUAUUACUAGUUGCCAGCAUUUAGUUGGGCACUCUAGUGAGACUGCCGGUGACAAACCGGAGGAAGGUGGGGACGACGUCAAAUCAUCAUGCCCCUUAUGACCU
rnacentral:rRNA from 2 species